rnacentral:lncRNA from 1 species
AUGAAAUCUUAUACCACAUUUACAAAACAUGACUUUGGUUGGUUUUUCUACCCUUCUAGGGUAUACAUCAAAAAUAAGAUGGUAGCUGUGUACAUAAAACCAAGAUUACAGCUGGGAAAAAACAAUCUGGCUGCUCAGGACUGCAAGGCUCUGGAAGACAGUCUAUUCCAUUCAACAUGGUAUACACUGGUGACAUCAGUGAAUACAUUUAUGGAAUGUAAGCUUUGAGAGAUCAAGAGGCUUGCAACUUCCAAGUUGGAGCUCUCUGAACAGUACAAUUUUAAAAAAGAGCUCACUUAGAAACUUCUGUCCAAGUUCAUGAGAAAUCAGGAGCAGGAGAAGAGGAAACUAGAAACAGGUCAGUGGAUAAUUUAAUAUUUUUAAGUCUUUCUUUUCUAUGUUUAUGUAUUUGUCAUGGGGUCUGAUUUUAAGGAACAUCAGUAAGAGGAUGUGGGAGUAUCUAGAAGGAAGAGUGGGCAACAUUAUAGUGAAAUUCACUGUGUCCAACAUAGAUUUUGAAAAGCAGAUAACACUUGAGAGGUUUGAUUAUUUGAGAAAUCUCUUUUCAAUGUUCAUAUAAAUUUGCAUUCAUACCUACGUUCCUGCUGUUAUUGAAUUUGCAUGUUUCACAAUUGAAUGUAUUUAAUUAUAUACUUCAAAAUGUAUUUUUGAUGUGUUUCUACUUAGCUGUUGUCAGUUUGACUUAAAGCUCUACAUUGAGUAGAACAGAAUAGCAAUAUGACAGUGUCAGAACACAUUUCCUAUUGCUUACCAGAGUGUUCAGGGUUCUCCAUUAUGUGAUUUCUACUUUACACUCUUCUGUUACUUUGCUAG